AGAUAAAAGGUUAAACUUGUCAGAAAGAAAAAUCAACAAGAUCCUCAUACAGAUGUGCCAUAAUCAAACUGUCAAUGAAAACUCAACAAAGCAAAGAAAGUUAGUUCCACAAGAUCCUUAAGAUAGUUGUAACAUUAAAUCCAUCAGUGCUUUCUUUCCUGACAGCUAAAUUUUGUCGACGUUCGAGUCGUGAAGAGAGUUUAUUCAACUUCUUGUAGGUAAUCGUCGAUUUCAGCUGGUGUGAGAACUCUGAAUACUUUGUCAUUGCCAAUGAUGCCGAUCUCGAUGUUUUUUCCGGAGAUCUGCCCCUCAAAUCCCUCCUUCAGGGUCAGUAUAGCAGUGUGUACAGCGUCAUCAAGUUCCAAUUCCUCCGUGUACCUCUUCUCUAGAAAUGUCUUUGCAUUGGACACAUUCUUCCCCAUAGCAGAGGCCUUCCAAGAGAAGUAAGAACCUGAUGGAUCCACCUGAUACAGUUGAGGACCCUUGUCAUCAUACCCCGCAACCAAGAGUGAAACACCGAAUGGCCUUACA
rnacentral:misc_RNA from 1 species